AUUGAACGCUAGCGGGAUGCUUUACACAUGCAAGUCGAACGAGUGGCGGACGGGUGCGUAAUAUAUCGGAACGUGCCCAGUAGCGGGGGAUAACUACUCGAAAGAGUGGCUAAUCCCGCAUACUAUUGGAGCGGCCGAUAUCGGAUUAGCUAGUUGGGGGGGUAAAGGCGCACCAAGGCAACGAUCCGUAGCUGGUUUGAGAGGACGACCAGCCACACUGGGACUGAGACACGGGCCAGACUCCUACGGGAGGCAGCAGUGGGGAAUGUUGGACAAUGGGGGAAACCCGGAUCCAGCCAGCCCGCGUGUAGGAGAAGGCCUUCGGGUUGUAAAGUACUUUUGGCAGAGAAGCGGUAUCUGCAGAAUAAGCACCGGCUAACUACGUGCCAGCAGCCGCGGUAAUUC
rnacentral:rRNA from 1 species